UACGGAGGGUGCAAGCGUUAUCCGGAUUCACUGGGUUUAAAGGGUGCGUAGGUGGGCAGGUAAGUCCGUGGUGAAAUCUCUGAGCUUAACUCAGAAACUGCCGUGGAUACUAUUUGUCUUGAAUAUUGUGGAGGUGAGCGGAAUAUGUCAUGUAGCGGUGAAAUGCUUAGAUAUGACAUAGAACACCAAUUGCGAAGGCAGCUCACUACACAAUUAUUGACGCUGAGGCACGAAAGCGUGGGGAGUCAAACAGG
rnacentral:rRNA from 1 species